UGCCGCCACGGCACUUUAAUGUUGCUGCCCCCUACCCAUCAGCGGUGCCCUGCAAAGGUCCCUGCAGCGCUUUAACGUUCCUGCCCCUUUUGGCCCCCUCCCGCCGACUGGCGGGGGGGGGCAAAGGGAGCAGCUGCCUUGGGGCCGGCAAUUUAAAAGGGCCCGGGGCUCCAGACACCGCUGCCGCUACGGGCCCUUUAAAUCAACAUGAGAGCCCUGGACGGUGCAGGCCAGCCGGGCUGGCUGGGGGAUGCUGACCCCCUCCAGCCCCGCCCCUUCCACCUGAGGCCCCUGCCCCGUACUUGUAAGUGGCCUCAGUUACUUUCACCCCUGCAUAUCACCCAUGUGGACAGAGCAGUGCACAGGAUUUAACAAAGUUCCAUUUGUUCAGCUUAACCUGCAUUCAGCUUCACCCUUUGUGAAUGAAACAGGACAGUUCGAGCUCCCAGAACCACAGACCCAGCACCAGGCACUCUUCACCAGUAACUUGUUGAAAAACUGGUGCUUUUAUGCACAGAUUAGAGCUGGCUGGAAUUCAGUUUAGCAAAACAUUUUGCCAUUUGUUUUUGUUCUGCAUUGCAUGAAAUUUUCCAUGGGGAAAAAAGAGACCCACACCUCAAAAUAGCCAGUAGCUCAUUGCUUAGCGCACUCAUCUUGUAUGUGGAACUCCCAGCUUUGCCUGAUUCAGGACACUCACCUGGGUCUUGCACAUCCCUGGGCUAUUGGCUAUUCUGGAAUGGGCCUCUCUGUCUGACCAGAAAUUCCGUUGUGGGCUGAGAAACCUUCCCUACAAGAUGUUCAUAGAAACCAAUAUAUUUCUGUGAAAACUUGUUUGACAGAUUAAACAUUUUGUGUCAGAAAAUACUAAUAUAAAAUUCCCAGCCAGGUCUAGUGCUGAUCUAUAAAACCUAAUCUUUGAUCUGCAAUAGGAAAGGAGGGACAUGAGUGGCAUAAUGUCAGCUGCAGAAUCAUAGCUAAAUAGCUCACCUCCUGUUCUGGUGGCAGUUUACUAACCUCAAACUAACAAAAAAUAAAUGUGAAGUUAUUGAAAAUGGAGUAAGACUUAACCAUAAUAAUGUGAAAGUUAUUGCAGAAGGAGAGGGGAAAGGAUGAAUUGUUAAGGUAGUUGAAAUAUUUUUCACAGCACCCUGGAAGAUCCAGAAAUUUUCUUUUAAGAUUAAUUGAGUACAUAAAGCCCUGUUUUGCACCUUCAUCCCUCCAACUGUGAAACAUCUGGCUUUGAGAUAUUUGAGAACAUAACUGUGCUGAUAACGAGAAGAUUCUAAGAGCAGCAAAGAUUAUUUAACGUUUGUCUUAUGAAGGAUGUAAAUUGUCUCUUUGAUAAUAUUUCAACUUUGACAAUUAAAGGGGAAUAGUUUAAAUGGAUAAAGGAGGCAAGAAAGUUUGAAAUACAGUGAUUUCCUUUCAAGUUCUUCAGUUACAAAGGGCAAACUUUGUCCAUUAAAUUAUGUGAAGAUGGGCAAGAAACUUUUCUAUCUGAAUAUCAGAAACCAUCUAAGUAUUUCAAACAGCUGAGCUCAUCUGAGGGCAAUAGCAAAGAAACUAGGCACUGAUUAGGUACAGAUAAAGCCAAACUGGAUCCCACGAAUUCACCAGUAUCCUUGAAGGUACCAGAUAUUAUAUUUAGCUAAGAUUUUAUCUCCAGUCUUUUAGAGAGAGACCUUUUUAUUCUUCUAAACAGUCACUCUGUUAUGGUCUAUCUUAAGGCUAAUAUGAAGUUAUUUCUCUCAUGUAAAUUAUAGUGUGGAAAGAGGUUUUUAUAGUGCUCUGUGCUUCAUAAUAUGGAACAAGGAUUUUAUAUUGCAUUAUGGAGACACUAUCAGUAAGACUAAAAGGACAAUAAAUACCUUCUUGAAUUAUAAUAAUUGAUGUUAGAAAGGAGGAGGGAUAUCAAUACCACAUUGAUUUUCUUUUACAUAUUGACUCGGGAGUAGCCAAUACAUAAACUUUACAUUAUUUUAAGAUGUGUGUAGGAGUCAAGCAUGUCUACGUCUCGUCCCUUAUAUUCAUAUUGAUAGAGGUAUGUGUCUAGACCACUGGAAACUCAUCUUCCUUCAGUGUCAUGCCAUGUGUUGAGUUUGUAGAUCAUUCUUUAUGUAGAGAUCCUCUAAUUAGUAAUUUAAAAUAUUCUGUAAUAAUUUGAAUGGGAUUAACUCUACUCCAAAUGUUAGUUUACAUGAUUUAUGGAGUGACAUUAAAUCAAAAUUACAUAAUAGUGAAAAAUCUGUAUUGUAGAAUAGCAUUGCUCUCAUUUGGGAUGACCUGCAUAACUCAUCCCUAGCAUCAUUUCUCAUGUGCAAUGGGAAUAUUUCAAAAUUAUGCCACACUGUUAUUAUUCUCUUUCAAGAAGAUAAUAUAGACAUAAUCAAGUAUAUUAAAAAACCCUGGCCUUGUAAACUUAUAUGAAAUGACUUGGUGUGGUGCUAAUGCUAAAAUCUAAUCUUAAUGAACUUCUAAGGCUGAACUAUCUCACACUCAAAAGGCAGUAAAUUGCAACCGUCUAGGUUGCUGUCUUAACAUUAAUUCAGACAUAGUGCACACCCUAUACUUCAUAAUGCCCAUCAUUCAUAUAACAGUGUGCAUGAGGUAAGGCUAAGGACAAUCUUUGUGACUGAUCUCGCAUGUCUAUUCAGGACUGAGAAAAGGGCUCCUUGCCAGGAACCUUAGUCCCAGAACAGUGCACUAUAGGCUGGUUACAUGCCUUUGUGUCAUUUUCUGUGUUAGAUUGUUGAGUUGCUGCUUUCAUUAAUCUCUUGCUGGAGACCACGUAGUGUAGACAUUGGCACAGCACAAUUCAUUUAGGUAUGUGUGCUCUCUUUCUUGAGAACAUGUUCUGCUGUUCCCACUGCAAGGCAAUUCCUGGUCACUGAACCCAAGCACUUAGUCAUGAUUUCAGUACCACCGUCCCCAAGUGCUCAAAAACAAUGAGUCAAAUCCCCCCCCCCCAAAAAAAAACAACCAAAAAAGCCUGAGAGAUUGACUUAGAAGCCACGAGGGUUUAUUUUUAAGAAACAAUUUUGAUUCUUUAUUUGCCUUCUGAGUUUUGAAUCUUUAAUAUGCAGUUGGGUCAUGUUCUCAAGUUUUUACUUUGUCGUCACUGAAAGUUGAGAUCUGCACAAAUCAAUAUCACUCCAGGAACUGAGGUUUUAAGAAAAACAUCAGAUAUUGUGAGAUGCACAAUAAAUUGUGAGGGUUAGCAACAUCCAUAUUUUGCAUUUUUUACAUCUGCCAUUAUUAACAUUUGCUACCACAUGCUUCAUUUAAAAUAUAAACACAAGGUCAUCCAUUUGGCACGUAACUGGGACGUGUGGCUCUGCAAUUUUCAGUUAGCAUCUGGCAGUUGUUGUUUUUUUUUUUUUUUAAAGCUGUCGUUAGUGCCGUGACACAGGCACACUCAGAGUCUUGACUUUCCCUUGGCAGCUGGAUCCCCAUUUAAAUAACGAACAGCUAGUGGUCAUAAUAUAAUGAAAGGCUGCACUAUAUAUGCAGGUAAACAAAAAAGAAAAACCCAACAGGAACAGUGGGGGGGGCUUGUUUAUUCCUCCCCCAUCCCCCCACUGUUCCUCAGACGUUCUUGUUAACUCCUGGAAAUGUGCUGGACAUGGCCCACCUUGAUUAUCACUUCAAAAGGUUUUCUCUCCCCCCCCACAGUCUCCUGCUGGUAAUAGCUCAUCUUAAGUGAUCACUCUCCUUACAAUGUGUAUAUUUUCAUGGUCUGUGUGUAUAUAAAAUCUUCUCAUUGUACUUCCCACUUUAUGCAUCCGAUGAAGUGAGCUGUAGCUCACGAAAGCCUAUGCUCAAAUAAAUUGGUUAGUCUCUAAGGUGCCUCAAGUACUCCUUUUCUUUUUUCUUUUUGCGAAUACAGACUAACACGGCUGCUACUCUGAAACCUUUCAUUAAAAUGUAUGUUUGUUUGCAUCCAGCUUACCAAGCAAUGUAGAUAUGUCACUUACUGGAAGUUUAUUCCUCAUGCCAACUUUUUUGGCUUCUUCAAAUGUUCUAAGCAAUGUUUUUGUAUUUUGAUAAAAAUGUUAAAUAGCUUUGGGUCAAGACACUAACCCUGCAGGUCUCUACUAGAACCUCCAAACUUGAUCAAUGCUGAUUUCCCAUUAACAAUUACAUUUUGAAAUCUAUCGGCGAUUUUUUAAUCUAAUUAACGUGAAUUAUUGAUUUUUAAUAAUGCUAGUUUUUAAAUCAAAAUGUCGUGCAGUGCUUAGUCAAAUGCCGUACAGAAGUCCAAGUAUAUUACAUCAACACAGUUAUCUUAUCAACCAAACUUGAUAAAAUUUUCAUUGAUGUGCCAAGUUUGUUUAGCAAGAUCCUUGCAUUUGGCUGAGUUGUGCAUGGCACCGGACUUCAGGAUCGUUUGGGUUAAACGGCGCGUCACACUAGUCAAUCUCCAUGCAUCACUGCUCAUCUAGGAUCAGGAUCAGGCCUAUCUGGGACAAGAAUGGUUUUGUUACAAACUGCCAUGCCCUGACUCUUCUUCUACAUGAGGGGCUGUGAAGGAGAGUAGCAUUGGGUGCACUUUGGAGGCUCUGUUCCACCUGGGGAUUCUCUUCUUGCCUAAGGAAUCCUCCUUUUGGUAGUUUUAAGCUAGUAUUAUGCCCCCUUUUCACUGUUGGAUCAUUUCAAAGGGUUCCACAGAGGGCUGAGGUUUUGGGUCCAGAUUUUUUGCAUUCACUCCCAUUUUGCGAAUCAACUAUAUUAAAAAAAAAAGCUGGGUGUAUGCAAACGGCACCUUUAAAAUCUGGCCCCAUAUUACUCAACUCCUUUACAUAGUGUAAGAACGUGGUCAAGUAGAGAGUUCAAAACUGUGGUAACUUAUUUGAAUCCUGCUGGAAUGUGGGGGUUUGGAUAAAGCAUCUGAACCACACUAUAGUUUUAUUUCUGAAAACACACACACAUAUAUAUUUGUAAAACUUAAAGCACAUCCCAUGGUCACGCCCGUUUUUCCUGAAAAGUCUUUCUAUUGCUUUCAAAUCUGAUAAUCUCCAUCAUCAGUCAUGUAUUCCAAAAGAGCACAUAACUUUCAAUGAAAGAUGCAAUGACCAUAGCUGUGCAAAGACAUCCUCUUCAGCACAUUACUUGAGUGUGAACAAGGUGCAGUCCCAGCCUUUCUGGGUCAAAUGAGCCACAUGACAAAGUACCUUUUUAGAACCUAAAACACUUAUACUUACAGCAGUCCAUCAUAAGCUUUUAGGACAUUGAAGAUAAUAGAGUUGCACCUACAUAUGUCAACCCACUGUGUUAAACAGUUGUCUGACGAGUAUCAAGGUAAUUAGUUAUGAUUCAUAAUACAGAGGCAGGUGUAUGUAACUUGCCAAAAAUGAUCUUUGAAAGACUAUGUAGGAUUGCCUAACUUGGAUAAAUAGGGUGAAAAAGCCCAUGUUUCAUUAUGUUGAGGUUUUGGCAGAAUGACUCAAGGAACAAACACCAAAGAGAACUUGUUCAGGAUGAAAUGUUAAAUGAGCACAGUGAGUUUUAAAAUAUUAUGGUGUAAACUAGCACAUCUCUCUACCUGAUAACACCUCAUUACUAAAAGUGAAAGAUUUAAAAACAAAACAAAAAAACAGAGUACUCAUCACUAUUUAUGAGCUUUGUUUUCAUUUAGCAUUCUGGAUAAUGACAAUCAAUGAUAGCAGCUUUCCUUUCAGGUCCUUACUGCUGCAACAUUUGGGAUCCAAAUGCAGCAGCAGAAUAUUUAUUUGUUUAAAACAAAUUGUCUUCAAUAAUCCAAUGAAAGAAAAAAGGUGAAAUAACUUUGAUCUUGAUGUCACUCUGAUAGCUACUGUAAUAAAACCUCAGGGAAAUAGCUUUUAUAGAAUCUAGUUAGUUAUUAAAGAGUCCCUUUAAUAAUUGGCCAGACAAGAUGAGGCUAUUGAAAGCUUAUGAGAUAAGAAACUGCGAGGUAAUGUGUUCAGAACUUGGCUUAAUAUUUUUAACUUAAUUUUUGUAUCUGAAGUUAUGAAUAUUGACUUGCUAUCUGUAUUUCAAAUGUUCUUACUCUGGGAACACUCAGAACUAGCCUUUAAGGUACAACAAUGAAGAAGCUAGACAGUGCUGAUGGGCCAUCAGCAAAGACAAUGGACUAUGGAAAAGGUUAGUUUCCUGUAAACGUUUCAACCAGCCUGUAAGCAAUGGCUGCUAUGACUCAGCAAGGGCAUGUGACCAGACCACAUGAUACUGAACUCCAUUUUGGGUACCUGUAUUUUUCCAGAAACUGGGCUCUGAACUUUUUUUGGGGACAAAGGGUUCUUGCCAUAUGUUAAAGCUAUAUAAGGUGGGGUGUGACAUCUAGGGGCCUCACUCCCCACACAAGGACCUAGAAACACCUGAGGAACAAUGACUGAACUGGGGGAAGUGCUGGUCCCAGGCUAAAAGGAUUUCUAGCUGUGUAUGGAAACAUGGUGAACUGCUUCUAUCAUCAGUCAGGGUGAGAAGUUGCUAAUUCAUAUCUGAUCUAUCUAGUAUGUUAGGCUUAGUUUGCGUCUUUGUUUAUUUACUAGGUAAUCUGCUUUGAUCUGUUUGCUAUCGCUUACAAUCUAUCUUUCUAUAGUUUUAAACUUGUUUUUUGGUUUAUCUAAACCAGUGUGCCUUUGAGUAAAGUGUCUGGGGGAAAAACAUCUCAGCUUGGUUAACACGGGCUUGUUGAGGGGAGACCUAACUGUUUAUGAGCUUGCACUGUACUGAUGCAGUGCAAGAUGGUAUAAUUUGGGGUUUAUUACUCCAAUGGGGGGAUGCGUGCCUGGGGAGCUAGGAAUUGGCUGGUGUCUGCUGUUUGUAGUUGGGUGGCUUAAGUACAGCACUCAGGUAGCUCAUUUUGGGUGAGUGGCACCACCUGCUGUUGUGUUGGGUGAUAACAGGGUCUGGUGAGGCUGGCUGUGUUUCCAACCAAACAGUGUGGAAAAAGGACCAGCCCAGCUGGGUAGUUAGAGGGGUACAGUGGUUCCCAUGGCUCCCAGACUGCACCCAGGGGAUGGAUCACCUGUCACGGGUGUAACAGGAUAAAUGUAGGAAGCAGUUGAGCUCCUUGUGGAAUAAAAUAGCUGAAACUAUAGGAGCAACUGCCUAAAAGAUAGGCCCCCUGCAAGGCCAGUCAUAAACUAAGCUAUGUGGGCUGAUGCAAAUACAGGGCCUGGGUAUUUUUUUGAUGAAGAGGUGUGUGUGUGAAAGAGAGAAAAAAACAGUUGAAAUGCCACAAGCAACAGAGAAGGCAGCAGAAAGCCAAGGACAGCCAGAGAAGUGCUUGUAGCAUGAUCUUGAGAGAAAGCUAAGAGUUCUGGCUGGAGAAAAAGGCUUGGAAGAUUGAGCAAUGAAACUGUCUCCUGUUUGAUUCUACUGUGUUCAGGAAAACAGGGCUUUGAUGCAACCCUGUUUGUUUAUAAGGAAUGUACACCAAGAAAUACCUGACUACAUUAGGAAGAGACACUGAUGAUGAAACAACCCACAAGACUCCAAACUGGCUAACCGCUUGGAUCAAAUAGGGUGUCCAGUGUGCACAUUAGAAAAAGAACUGUAAAUCAGACGUUGGCAGAAUGACCACAAAUGUUCAGAUUUUCAAAGCAGGCACUCAUCAAUGCAUGCAUAUACAUGUGCAUGCCGAGCUUAUUAAUGCAAAUACUAGAUGUGAGUGAGCCAAUCCAUUAUUUGCAAGCUCAGAUGGCCAGUCGGGCAUACCGAUGAGCCUGGGCAAAUAACUGGUUUGUACAUCCACAUUUACUGUGUGAGCACACAAGUUAGGCACAUGCAGAUGUACAAUCUCCAUGGAAUGUUCAUGGCUAGAUUUUAAAAUCCAGACAAAAUUCCUUUGGUGAACGUUGUUUGGCUUCAGCAUUUUUUUGCUGCUAAUAUUAAAAACAUAUUUUAUAUGGAAAAAAUGCAACACUUCAUUAAUGUUUUAUCUGAACUUUAUAUAAACAUUACGUGAAGAGUGCUCAUACUAUUAAUCUCAUUAUUAGAAAAAUUCUAAUUGUAUUGCUGUAGAUUAGUCUCCUCGGCUGAUGAAUUCUAUAAUAUUUAGCAGUUUUGAGGUUUGUUUUCUGCCUUGUAAGGCAACUAAGUCAGUUGUAUAGUCUUUCUGUGUGACACCCCAGGUACAAAGGUCACUAAUGAGUUCCAUAACAUGUCCUCAAACACCAGGAUUGAAAGUUGGCCACAUCAGUGGCACCCAACCCUUGACAGUAUCCUCUCAGUAGCAGGUGUUGAACAGUUUGCAGCACAAUCACAAAUUACAUCAUGCUGUCAGCUCCGGAAGCCACAUGUAAAAAAACUUCAUAAAAGAAGGUUCCGUCAAUUCUUUAAUCUCAGUUUAAUAUAUUUCACCGUAAUUAGUAUAUUUGAAUGUCAGUAUCUUUCAGAGUACUCCCUGACUGAAUUGGAGACCAUUUUUGUUCUCCCCAUGACCCAUCAAAGAUAAAGAAUUUGUUUACUGUAAAUGCACACCACUCCCUCGUAUAUGCCAUCUGCCACGCUUAGCCAUGGAGUGCUACAGUUUUCUAAUAGCUCUUUUAAUUUAAGAAAAAUAAUCUGAGAUGUUCAUUCUACAUCUAUAUAUAAAUUUACAAUUUGCAUUUUAACUUCAUCCCUACAUAUUAAAAAGCUGUAGUCCACUGUCAAUUAAUCCAUCAUUUUUUGUAACUUAGUUUCUUUAUAAUAAUCAAAGCUCUGUCCUCUUGGGAAAGCAAGGUAUCAGAUGCUAGUUCUUCCCCCAAAUCUGGCACAAAUCAAUUGAUCUGUAUAUCUAGCCCUCAUCACCCUAGUGUGAGUAGCCUCACCAUUAAUGUAUUUCUUUUCACUCCACCCUUUGAUGUAGGAGAGCAUAUCCUAUUUUUACAGAUGGGGAAAAUGAGAGUCAGAGAGACUUAGCUUGUAGUGUAAAUGUAGCCUAAGAGUGUGAUUCCCAGUUUGUGCACACAUACCCACACUAGCUCUCAUUGAGCUAGUGUAGCUGCAGUAGCUUGGGCAGUGGUAGAGGAGACGGGUACAAACCUGUCUGAAACCAGUGGGUACGUAUUCUGCAUGGCUAAGCUGUGCUGCUGUUCAAGCUACCCUACCAUUUAUACUUGUGCUAGCUUGAUGGAUGAGAGCAUGAGUAUGUGUAUGUGAGCUGAAAAUCACAGCACUAGCUUGUAGUGUAGAUAUAGUCUUGUGUGUCCUUGGGCAAGUCUGGGUGAGCUAGGAACUCAACCUGAGUCUGUCCCGUUCCCUAACUACUAGAUCAUCCUUUCUACCUUGAUGGGUCAUCUUGGGCACAGAGAGGUUUGUAGUUUUUCCCACAUGCAAAAUGUUAAUAAAACUAUCCCACUGGAAGGAGAUGUGAGACUUUAUUUAUGACUGUAAAGCAUUUUGUGGUGAUUGGAUGUACUAGCCAUUGUGCCACAGACCCAUUGGUACCAGCUGGAAUGUCAUGUAAGGUCACUAAUAAAAGCUUCUGUCAGACUGAUCCUUAUAAUCAUUGUGAGAUGUAUGUAAGGAUUAUAUCUGAGUUGUAUACAUGUACUGAAUAUAUGUUUUUAAAGUCUGUAACCAAUUAAAGGGGGAAAAACCAGUUUCUUCAAACAGGAGUUAGGAUGUAGAGUCACCUGACUAUCUUGGUGCACAUGUUCAUGUAAAUUAAGCAUUCUGUGCCAACACAAUGAGAGUCCAAUUUACAUAUGAAAUCAACAAGGGGACAGGAAGACCCAGGAGACUAGGUCAUAGGUGUUUGUCCUCUCUCUCUGGGGGCAAAAAAAAUCUACUUUGAAGAAUAUAAGUAGAAUGCAAGGAGACAUUUUGUAAUCCAUUCACCCUGGAAAAUCUCUGAUGGAAAAGGGGUGCUCCAUGAGUGCUUGGAUCCUGAUUUGGCUGAAAUCAGCUAGCUCUGCAAAAGACUAAACCUUUGGGGGAAAAUCUCCCUUUAUUAUAUAGGAAAGGCAAUGAUCGAUAAGUGUAGAUCCAGGCUUGUGUUUUAUGAUUUUUUUUAAUAUAACCAUUUUGUUUCUAAUUAUCGUUGCUCUUAAAUCUUAAUCUUUUGAUGAUUGAUAAGCUUGUUUUUGUUUUUUACUAUCUGUAUUGUGAUGUUAAAUAGGCAUUAACUGCAAGGCAAAAUAAGGGCUGGCAUAGCCUGAGGUGGUUGACAUCACCCUUGUUAGCCACCCAAACAAACAGAGUUGUCAUCCAGUUAAGCACCAGUAAGUCCUCCUCUCAGGGCAGUGGGGUAUGAAGGUGCCAGUCAGUCCUGGAAACCCAAGAAAGUGUCAUAGCCAUGUAUGGUAUCAAAGCAAAUAAUUUGAUUCCAUGUUUGCUUUUCACUUCUAAUUGCGGGUUUAAAAAUGAAAAUGGGAGUCUUUUCACUGACUUUACUGGCACUUGGAUCAGGCCCUAUCUUUAUAGAGAAGCUCAUUCAAAUAAUAUCAAACAUAUGGAAACUUCCCAUCUACACACAUCCCAGGAUAUUUAGGUGGGUCUUCAUCCUUCACCAUUCCUGUUGUGUCUAUGUACUACAGAGUAUUAAAUGCUGGAUGAUCCUAUAUGGCAAUAUGAUGCAGCAUUUACCCCUAAACUUACGGGGACAGAGACUCACCUAGUAGUACCUGAGGGAAUCACAAAACCCGGAACUAUAAGCUUUCAGGAAAUAAUUUUCAACUAUUCAUUAACUAUGUAUUUUUAAGUAUAUACGUAGUUGGCCUAAUUGAGCCUUGGCAUAAAUAAUUCCCCUGAAGUCACUGAAGUUAUACCUGUGCUGAAUUAAGUCCCUAUUUGUUAAUUAUUUUAAACCUGAAACAGCCAUCCCAUUCAAUUAGUUUUAAAUACUGUAUAUUUUUUACCUAAAAAGUCUCAAGAGACAUUCAGAACUUUAAAGAACAUCUCCCAGGCUUCUCUGGAUUCUUCUCCAAAAUUUAAUUCUAUAACAAUUUAUUCAAAAUCUUAGUGAACUAAAACGGUAUAGAAUUAUUUUCUUUUAAAAGAGCUUUUUUGCUCCCCUCACCACUCUACCUGUAAUUGUUCUUUCUCCAUUUCCUUUUUGUGGUCUGCUCAUAUAGUCACCAUGCUCUAGUAAUCAGGAGAAUAUUGCAAAGUAUUUUGGGUGUUCUAGUUCAGUGAGCACAUUUCCUUCAUUUAUAUGUCUAUACUCCUAAGGCAGUUAUUUUAUGUAUCUCUUUGCUUCACAUGGUAUAGGACUUUGAAUUCUUCUGUGCAUCACACCUUCAUUAGAAGUAAUUUAAUUUCAGUGGUUGUGUCAUGUUUUUUUCUGUAUGUCUAGUCUCUUUUUUUCUCUGUAGUGAAAGCAUUUUGAUUGUUCAGCAAAUCCACCUCUCAGUAUUUUAGCACGCUUGAGGACUUGUUCCUUUCAUCUUUUCUGCAUAUUUUGUGUCUGAAAAAACAUUAAUUUGUAUGCUCACAAUGGAUUACUUUAAUGUGGUGGUUGCAGAAUUCCAUUUUCCUAUUGUAUUUGGUCAGUAUGAAUGACAUAAGAGUAGAACUUGUAUCAAUAAUGGAAUUUUAUGUUUGUGGUGGUUAAUUAUUUCUUUUGUAUUUCAGGGCCAUCAGAAGCUGUAAACACCUAAAAACUUGGCUGUUUCAAGGAUGUGCAGAUGUAAGUAGGCAGCAGUUGCCACUGAGAAGACAAGUUCCACAGUGAUGGCUGAGAUUACAAUUCUGGAUCAGUUCUUCUCCCAGUGAAGACACUGGAAGGCUUGUCACUGAUUUCGGCAGAAGAAAAGAUCCUCAUUUCUUUUCAAAGGAUGGAAACUAAGAGGAAAGCCAUUGCCAUGCAGCCUGGUAGCAUCCUGCACCACUCCGUGGGUCCACUCUGAGCUGU